rnacentral:rRNA from 1 species
UACGUAGGUGGCAAGCGUUGUCCGGAUUUACUGGGCGUAAAGAGCGCGCAGGCGGUCGUUCAAGUCGCGUGUGAAAGCCCCCGGCUCAACUGGGGAGGGUCACGCGAUACUGAUCGACUCGAAGGCAGGAGAGGGUAGUGGAAUUCCCGGUGUAGUGGUGAAAUGCGUAGAUAUCGGGAGGAACACCAGUGGCGAAGGCGACU